GUACGUGGAAUGAUCGUCGUAGAGGAAAACGUCUGAAAAAGUGAAUGGCUACUGUGUGGCUCCCCUUUGUGUAUUGCAGUUUGUACAUAUGUACCGUGCUGAUUAACAAGUAUGUGCUGUGGGUACUUGGCUUCACCUACCCCACCCUCUUCCAAGGUUGGCAAACCCUGGUGGGGUUCCUGGUGCUUCGUUUCGUUGCCUCCCUCGGCCACAUCGAACUUAGCAGCAGCUUCACUGCAUCUGCACUCUUUCAGUGGCUCCCUGCAAUGGUUCUCUUUGUGGGUGGUAUCUACUCAGGAUCCAGAGCACUUGCAAGAUUGCCGAUUCCCAUCUUUCUUUGUCUGCAAGGACAAGUGGAGGUGAUAACAUCAGUUGUGGUGGCCUUGCUUAAUAAACAGAAUCCUAAGCCUCAGGUGGCUUGCAGUUGGCUGAUAAUGACUGCUUCGGGUAUUACAAUAUGGCUGACAGAUCCGCAGUAUGACCAGAGUGGCUACAAGUGGAUGUUCUUACAUGUCGUCGUCUCAAGUCAAAGUGCAAUAUAUAUGAAAUGGCAGAAAACAUUUAUUAUGAGUGAUAUAGACAGACUUCAUUAUAUUUAUGCCUUCAGUGUGUGUGUGUUUGCUCCAGGAAGCUUUUUAUUAGGUGAUCUUAUGUCUUCAACCAAUUUUCCCUUCUGGUACAUGCAACAUUUCUAUCUUGGGUGCAUGAUGAGUGGUAUCUUAGGAGUAACCCUGGCUUUAUGUCAUCUGUACAUGAAGCAUGCUUUUCCAGACUUUGUUCUCUCCCUCACUGUCUCCACAUCCAAGAUCUUGUGUGUGGGCAUUUCCACUCUCGUCUACCUCACAGUCUUUAAUAUACAUUUCUUCCUCAGUAUAUUCUUUUGCCUUGCUGGUCAACUUAUUCAUUCCAUUGCAAAGCAUGAUGGGAGUGGUGAAAAGUCAUCCCAUCACAUCGCAGAGGACGAUAUCAUAGGGCCAAAACUGGAAAAGGAACAAGCAUAAGUUCUUUUAGACCAGUGUCACAUGCACAACUUGCCUUAAAGGGAGAGAGCCCGACGAGACUACGUGUCUUUCCCUGUGGCCUGACUCGGGGCCAUUUGGGUAUAAUACCCGAUUCAUACGACGCGACUGCAACAAUCAUGCGUGUGCAACAUACGCGAAACCGAAGCGUGAGGAGAACUUCAGCCUGUUUCGCGAACGCUGACCAAAUAGAGAUUAAGUCGAUGAAUAUCAAGUCCAUUCGUUUAUGUGCAGUUGUCCAAAAGAAGACGUAGAUGGCGUUAACCAAUAAUUGCCAAGCUACACUCCCUUUAAUACUGUCAAUAGCUCCUCUUGUGUUUAAUAUACCUUGGGUCGAGUCAAUAUUUGCCCUGGUAAUACAGUAAGAUAAUUUAUUUAUUUAUUUAUUUUUAAUUGAUGGCUUUCUUUGAUUACAAAUUUUUGUUUCUAUUCAUAAAGUAUACUUGGUUUCAUAGACCAGGCUCAAACCUAGGCCUUAAACCUAGGCCUUGUUUCCUAAAACAUGUUACUAUUUACUGAUUACCAUAAUUGUUAUAAGCUACUGAAAUAGUUGCAUUUGAUUGGUUGUUCAUAAAUAAUUUGUUAUAGAAAUGUGACAGUUGUUGUUGAUGAGAUGUUUUAUGAAACAGGGCCCAGGUUUGAACAUGGACUAUGAAAUAAUUAAUAAAAAAAGGUUAGUCCUCUGAUUGUGUAGUGCCAAAUAACGACCGCUUCAUUCUGUUAUGAUUAACAAAAAUGCUGUCCAAUAAAAUCCAACAAAUGAAAAAAAUCAUGUCGGUAACAAGAAAAAUGCUCUCAUUUCAGACCAUUGUUUUAUUUAAUCAUUUCGUUAUAGAAAUGAAAUUCAUUUGAAGGGAUUAAGAUGUUGAUACUUUGCACCCCUUAAGUGAAUUGACUUAGCAAAUCCAGGUUUAUCCAUGUUAAUGUGAGCCGAUGGUGCUGGUAACAAGUUGUUGCAAAAAGGCUAUGGUAACUUGAAGAAUCACCCUUAUUUCACAUAGAUAUUUAUUUUUAAGAGGUUGAUUAAAUAUUUUCUUUUGUUGAAAAUAAAUAUUUUAUUUUUUAUAUUGAUCCAUGUUACCUAGCAAAUGGGUGCUAUUGUAAAUGCUGCUUUAUAUUAUAUUUCUCUGAAGUCUUACAUGACAAGAUAUAGUAUCUUGUAAAUUUUGAAGUUUUAGGAUGUUUUAAAGUAUGUUGAAUUUGUAUAUUUUCUCUUUAAGGCUUGUCUGUUUAUAUCUUUAUUAAUAAUUCAAAUUAGAAUGUAGAUUUUCUUGCCGUAUUUUGAAGGGGAGACGGGUAUAUACACGUAAAUGUAAAAGUAUUCAUUUUAGAUUUCGUCAAAAGACAUCGUUUAUUUCCUCAGGGUGAAUUUCAUUACCACAUCUGUAGUCGAUUCCACCGUAUGACUUCUGUUUUAGCGCCAAACCUUCUCCAGACCGGCCAAGUCUUCAUCAUUUUGGGUAACGCUAUUUAUUGCUCGGUUUGUUUGUUGGUCCCAUUGGUGUAAUAACAUGGAUGUACAAUGGUUUGUUAGUGGGCUGGUGCAUGAUGACUUAGUUCUAUUUUUUUUUGUCCUUUUUUUCUCGAAUUUGAGCUAAAGCAAAUAUUUCAUUUUUUAGUGAAAAUAUUUCAGGAAUAUUAUGUUACAGGGUAUUUUAUUAUCAUUUCAGAAUUUCAGAUUAUUUUGUAUAAACAUGUAUAUGUAUUUAUUGUGAACUUGCGGCCUGCUAAACGUCAUGUGGACUUUAUAUACUACACACAAAAGUACAUGUAUGGCUAGAGGCAUUCAACAAAGGCCCCACAUUCCACCUUACAAACAACAAUAAUUUAGUUGAUUGCUAUACAUUUAUUUAUUUAUUUAAUGAGUUUCGUAGACUAUUCACUGUUCAUAUUUUCAGAGAAGCUUAUUAACAUCGUAAUGCUCACCUGUUGUAAUUUUUUUCUUUGCUCAUUUCUUCUAGCUGUUCUACAUGCACUUGCAAUUUGUAGAAAAUACUUAGUUUUAAAGUGCCAAAUGUUCCAUCGUCGUAGAAUUUAAAAAUGAUAGCGCAAUAUGUUUGGUGAAUCAAGAGAUCCACAAUUUAACAACUUAUCAUGGCCAUUAUGAUGAUAUCUCAACUAUUAAAACGAUGCUCAUACUUUGUAAAGAGCAUCUGCGGACUGCGGCACUGAAGUCCUGUUGCAAGACAAUGCCACACUAGACCCGGGUGAAGUAAAUGGCAAGAAUUAUAUCCUUGAAAUGCUAGAGUAAUGGCAGCCAUGCUAAAGCCAGGGUUAUAAUUAUGGAGUGUCAGGAGUGUCGAGUCAACAAGAACCCAUUAUAGCGUUUUAUCAUUAUUAUUAUUAUAUAUGUUCAUGUAUAUAAAUAUUUUUUAGUUUAUAAAUAUUUAUAUUAGAAUAUAAGAGAAAUGACAGUAAUAUGAAUUUCAAUGUUUGAAACUCUGUGCUUUCAAUCAAAUUGUGCCUUCAUACCAUUCAUACAUGAGUACGCAAGUUAUGGUUAAGUCCAGGCUACAUAUACCCUGUAUUUGUCCUUCAUGUUACCGACUGUAUCUUAAUAUUUAAGUAUAUUUGUGCCUGUAUUCAAUUCAGUACAUGGAUUAUUAAGUCAGUAGGUAAAUUAGCAUUGGUUAAGUGAAAAGUCUCGACUCGUAUUCAGAUCACAUCUAAUCAUUUACUUUAGCGAGCCGACUUUUAAGGCAAAAUACUGAGCAUUAAUGUGACGUUGUAUGGUCAAUAACAAAUAUUACGCAAUUAAAAUGUCACAUUGAAUACAUGCUAAACCAGUUGUGUGCAGCCUAUAAUGACUGCGUACGAAAACCACAUUCCUGGCAAUCAAGGCCUCAAAAAUUAUUGGCUUAAGUCAGCUAGGGAGCUGUCUUAAACUUGAGGGUGAAAUACUUGGCCAAAAGAUUCCAUUGAAUAUCAAAAUUUGCUAUUCAAGUAUAUUACUUAAGUCGAAAAAAAAAAAACUGAGUAAAAUACUCAUAUUUGUGAGAUAGCUCUGAUGGUUGCAUUAGGGCAAUAGUCCUUCCAGCGCUCAGAUCAGACCUACCAUAAUACAGUGUGAAUUGACAUGGUUUGAAGUAAAUUAAGAUUUUUAACCCUUUGGUGACAUAUUAAGAUACUAAAUGACCAAAUAUGCUGGACUUACCCUAAUACAUGUACAAAUCUUGUAUCAAUGCCAUUAUGUCUACUGAGUGGGCUUGGAAAAGGAUAUUUCAUUUGAUCAGUCGUGUGUCCAUACUAAAACAUGUAACGAUGCCAAGAAAAUAAAACAGAACAACUGACUUUAUGUAUUGAUCUAUUUUGUUAUUGGUAUUGUUUAUGGGGAUCAACUUUAUCUGAGAUGGAUGUACACAUUUAUAUUUUCUGUCCAAAGCAUACAUCAUGACUUGUUUUUAAUUUCCUUUCCACAAUGGUUUGACUAUGUAAUUAAUUUACAGUCAAACCAUUAAAGUAGGAAGUCUCUUAAAUAAAGCACAAUGUUAUUAAAGAACAUUAAAGUA